rnacentral:rRNA from 1 species
GAGCACGUAGGUGGGUUUGUAAGUCAGAUGUGAAAGCCUUCUGUUCAACGGAAGAAUUGCAUCUGAAACUGCGAGUCUUGAGUGUAGGAGGGGAGAAUGGAACUUCUGGUGGAGCGGUGAAAUGCGUAGAUAUCAGAAGGAACGCCGGCGGCGAAAGCGAUUCCCUGGCCUAUUAUUGACACUCAGUGUGCGAAAGCUAGGGGAGCAAACGGGAUUAGAUACCCCGGUAGUCCUAGCCGUAAACGAUGGGCACUAAGUAGAGGGGUUUU